AUGGGGGUAAGGAGGGAGAUGGUAUGAUAUAAUUAUUUUUUUCCACUGCCUCUACCUUAAUACAUAAGUAAUUAAAAAUGAGUAUUGUAAAAUUCGGUGCUGGUCAAACAUUAUAAUGUAAAUUAAAAUGGAGGAAGUGUUCUUUUGGUUUUGUUGGUUAGAUAUCUAUAGACGUUCUUGGUUAAGGGAGAGAUAAUGUUCAAGGGAGCUUAAUUGCAGAUCACUAUGAUGCACGAAUAUGUGAUCAAAUACAAUGUCUUUCUCCUGAACUGUUGAGCUAUUAAUUGGAGUCGUACUUCAUUUUGCUUCGUUUCAAGUUGCUCCCACUGGAAAUCACGGUGAACUCUGUCAUUACAUAUGAAAAAUGAUCUGUAUUAUGUGCUUAAUGGUUCUGUCAUAUAUAGCAUUGAGAGUAUCUGUUUGACCUUUGAUGGUACUGGAAAUCAUGGUGACCUCUGUCAUUACAUAUGAAAAAUGAUCUGUAUUAUGUGCUUAAUGGUUCUGUCAUAUUUAGCAUUGAGAGUAUCUGUUUGACCUUUGAUGGAUUAUGUUAAUGGAGUUGACACUACAUGCUUUUCUGAUCAUUGUUCUACACAAUCUAAUUUUGAACAUGAUUACUACGUCGUUCUUUGUCACUAAAGUAAUUCAUUUCUACCUGAAUUCAAUGCAGUAUGAGUCACGAAAGCUUCUAAUUUCACACUCUGCUUAAUCUUCUAAGCAAUCUUAGUUCAUUCUGUUUAUUCACUGCUUGCUUUUG
rnacentral:lncRNA from 1 species